CGCAUGACUCGUAGAGCGCGAGCCGUAACAAAAGAAAGCUCACCGAGU
rnacentral:ncRNA from 1 species